rnacentral:rRNA from 1 species
UACGGAGGGUGCAAGCGUUAUCCGGAUUCACUGGGUUUAAAGGGUGCGUAGGUGGGUCUGUAAGUCCGUGGUGAAAUCUCCGAGCUUAACUUGGAAACUGCCAUGGAUACUAUAGGUCUUGAAUACUGUGGAGGUCAGCGGAAUAUGUCAUGUAGCGGUGAAUGCUUAGAUAUGACAUAGAACACCAAUUGCGAAGGCAGCUGGCUACACAAAUAUUGACACUGAGGCACGAAAGCGUGGGGAUCAAACAGG